ACUCCUGCAGGUUGGUAAUGUUUGUUUACCACUGCAGUGGCAUGAAGGAAUAUGUUCAGUUUGUUCCAACACCAUAAAUCAUCUCUUGCACUCAUGUAGAAACGGACAUCUUUAAGUUGCAGCAAUCUACACACACGUGCUUCCAGAUGAACCUGAGAAGUCAGUGAAGAGCCAGAUGAUGUUGGAGGGAGAUUUGAGAAGGCUUAUCUUUGGAUAGAUCGGGGAGCAGGCUGCAGCUGCGCUGAAAUGAUUUAUAUGAUGGUGAACCUGUUGGAUAGCAGAUACAAUUUAGAAGACAAAGGUGGACCAAUACACAUUCUAGACGUCUGAUGUAGUCCUGCCACCAUCACCUGCUGAAUCCCUCUCUUCAUGUUCCCCAGCCCCCACCGACGGCACCACAGAUUGAGUCACACCAGAUGUGGAGCCUUGCAGUAGGGAAGACUAAUUGUUUUUCACUGCUACAACCUCAUUGGGUUUUUUCACGUUCAUAAAUGUAUUUAACAUUAGG
ensembl:lncRNA